rnacentral:rRNA from 1 species
GAUGAACGCUGGCGGCGUGCCUAAUACAUGCAAGUCGAGCGAACAGACGAGUAGCUUUCUCCUCUGACGUUAGCGGCUGACGGGUGAGUAACACGUGGAUAACCUACCUAUAAGACUGGGGUAACUUCGGGGAACCGGAGCGAAUACCGGAGAAUAUAUUGAACCGCAUGGUUCAAUAGUGACAGACGGUUUUGCUGUCACUUAUAGAUGGAUCCGCGCCGCAUUAGCUAGUUGGUAAGGUAACAGCUUACCCAGGCAACGAUGCGUAGCCGACCUGAGAGGGUGAUCGGCUACACGAGCACUGAGACACGGUGCAGACACCGACGGGAGGACGCAGUAGGGAAUCCUCCGCAAUGGGGGAAUGGCGAACAGAGCACAGUCGCGGGAGUGAUGAUGGAGCUCGGCUGGGAGAACGAAGUUGUAAGGCAAGAUGAAAUGUGUAAUCAACAAGGAACAUAUUGACGGUACCUGAUCAGAAAGCCACGGCUAACUACGUG